UAGGCUUAGGGUAAGUUUACGGUAGCCUUAGGGUAGGCUUAGGGUAGGCUUAGGGGAGGCUUAGGGUAGACCUUAGGUAGGCUUAGGCAAGACUUCCCAAGGCGGGGGUGGCGGGGGCUGAGCAUGCGUGGUUUUCGUGGGCGGGGGGUGACGUCAUAGUCAAGGGCGGGUCUGGGCAAGCCUGAUUGUGAGCCAAGGGUGACGUCAUCGGAGGGGUGGGAGUGGUGUGCAGUUGUGGUUAAUUGAUUUUGAACAAAAUUAUCCCUUAUUAUCCCUCAUUAUCCUAGGGAGGCAAAAUUAUCCCUCAUUAUCCCUAAUUAUCCUUCUGUUCAAGAACCCGCCAUUCUCCACUACUAUCUUAAUAUUAAUUUUUCUUUUAUGUGUUAGUUUUGGCAUUCAUGAUGUUAGUUUUCCAUUUGUGAUUUUAGUUUUGGCAUUUUGAUCUUAGUUUUUCUUUUAUGAUGGUAGUUUUGGCAUUUAUGACGUCAGUUUUCCUUUUAUGGUUUUAGUUUUGGCAUUUAUGAUGUUAGUUUUCCUUUUAUGCUGCUAGUUUUGGUAUUAUGAUCUUAGUUUUUGUUUUAUGAUUUUAGUUUUGGCAUUUAUGAUGUUAGCUUAAUUUCCUUUUAUGAUUUUAGUUUUGGCAUUUAAGUUGUUAGUUUUCCUUUUAUGAUAUUAGUUUUGGUAUUUGAUCUUAGGUUUUCUUUUAUGAUGUUAGUUUUGGCAUUUAUGACGUUAGUUUUUAUUUUAUGAUUUUAGAUUUGGCAAUUAUGAUGUUAGCUUAAUUUCCUUUUGUGAUUUUAGUUUUGGCAUUUAUGAUGUUAGUUUUUCUUUUAUGAUGUUAGUUUUGGUAUAUGAUCUUAGUUUUUCUUUUAUUAUGUUAGUUUUGGCAUUUAUGAUGUUAGUUUUCCAUUUGUGAUUUUAGUUUUCGCAUUAUGAACUUAGUUUUUCUGUUAUGAUUUUAGUUUUGGAAUUUAUGAUGUUAGUUUUCCUUUUAUGAUGUUAGUUUUCCUUUUAUGGUUUUAGUUUUGGCAUUUAUGAUGUUAGUUUUCCUUUAUGCUGUUAGUUUUGGUAUUAUGAUCUUAGUUUUUCUUUUAUGAUUUUAGUUUUGGCAUUUAUGAUGUUAGUUUUCCUUUUAUGAUGUUAGUUUUGGUAUUAUGAUCUUAGUUUUUCUUUUAUGAUGUUAGUUUUGGCAUUUAUGAUGUUAGUUUUCCUUUUAUGAUUAUUAGUUUUGGUGUUAUGAUCUUAGUUAUUCUUUUAUGAUGUUGGUUUUGGCGUUUAUGAUGUUAGUUUUUCUUUUAUGAUUUUAGUUUUGGCAGUUAUGAUGUUAGUUAGCUUAAUUUCCUUUUAUGAUUUUAGUUUUGGCAUUUAUGAUGUUAGUUUUCUAUUUAUGUCGCUAGUUUUGGUAUUAUAAUCUUAGUUUUUGUUUUAUGAUGUUAGUUUUGGCAUUUAUGAUGUUAGUUUUUCUUUUAUGAUUUUAGUUUUGGUAUUAUGAUCUUAGUUUUUCUUUUAUGAUGUUAGUUUUGGCAUUUAUGAUGUUAGUUUUCCAUUUGUGAUUUUAGUUUUGGCAUUAUGAUCUUAGUUUUUCUUUUAUGAUGGUAGUUUUGGCAUUUAUGACGUUAGUUUUCCUUUUAUGGUUUUAGUUUUGUUCAAUCCCUUGGUGUCCUUCAAUUCGUGAAGGUUGUCUAAUGUUUUCUUUUGUUGUUGGGUGGAGACGACAGUUCUUCCGUUCAUAAGUAAGAUAGAGUUCUCUCCAACAAGGCAUGUAGAGGUUAUGACGAAUGGAUCAAAAGGGGCGUGCUUCUUCUUCGACUUCAUUUGGCAUUUUAGGCCAAACAAAUUGGACAUAAUGGAUGACUUUCAAGAGUGUAUCAUCAGCUUGUUGAUGGUGGAAAAACUCCUGAAGCUGACUGGCAGUAGUGGACUUGUCAACAAAGUGAACAUUCAUAGUUCAUCUUCAAGAGAAGGUUCAUCAACU
rnacentral:lncRNA from 1 species